rnacentral:ncRNA from 1 species
GAACGAAAAGGUAAACCUUGAGCGAUCAGGGGACACAAAGCCACGGGUCUUAACCAGCGCGAAUAAUCGCGGAAAAUAAGACCGCGGAAUCAAGUAGAGAAAAGACAGCCGGGUUGCCGAAU